rnacentral:rRNA from 1 species
UACGAAGGGGGCUAGCGUUGCUCGGAAUCACUGGGCGUAAAGCGCACGUAGGCGGAUUGUUAAGUCAGGAGUGAAAUCCUGGAGCUCAACUCCAGAACUGCCUUUGAUACUGGCGAUCUCGAGUCCGGGAGAGGUGAGUGGAACUGCGAGUGUAGAGGUGAAAUUCGUAGAUAUUCGCAAGAACACCAGUGGCGAAGGCGGCUCACUGGCCCGGUACUGACGCUGAGGUGCGAAAGCGUGGGGAGCAAACAGG